rnacentral:rRNA from 1 species
GGUUCUCUCGGAUUGACGGUAGGUGGAGAAGAAGCACCGGCCAACUACGUGCCAGCCGCCGCGGUAAUACGUAGGGUGCGAGCGUUGUCCGGAAUUACUGGGUGUAAAGAGCUCGUAGGUGGUUUGUCGCGUUGUUCAUGAAAUCUCACGGCUUAACUGUGAGCGUGCGGGCGAUACGGGCAGACUAGAGUACUGCAGGGGAGACAGGAAUUCCUGGUGUAGCGGUGGAAUGCGCAGAUAUCAGGAGGAACACCGGUGGCGAAGGCGGGUCUC